CCGCUUCCUCUUCCACUUUCUUCUCUCGUCUGGUCGAGAUGGCGGGAGAUCCAGAAACUGUUUGCUGCAAAGGUGUGAUGAAUGUUGCAAGAUCAUCCACAGAAGGUUGGCCUGCAGUGUUCAUUCACUUAUGUCAAAGUAGCUGGAAAGUGCACUGAGGAGUUUGACUAGAAGUCUGAGAAAGGAUGCUCCCUCAACAUCUGAACAUGGGCCUCUUGAGUGGACACUUGGAAGAGGAAGACACCAAUUGGAAGUCACAUGGUGAUUCAUCGACUGCUUCAGCAACAUGAUGGAAGUGCUCUAGUUGAAGGUGCUUGGUAUUGGAAGAUGCCCUCAACUUCUCCCAGACAAAGGUGUCAGUCCAGGUAACAAUUGGUGCAUCAUCUGAAGUGAACUUGCAUCGUCUGACGGGAAUUUCUUGUCUGUUCCAUUAGGACUGAGCUGAAGUCACUGGGGUUGACGAGACUAUUCCAGAGUUGAGGUUUGGAAAUGCUGUCUGACUCUUCAACACCUGGGGCUGUGCUGCAGGUCAGACAGUUCUCUGCAUCAGCUGAUUAUUGGUCAGCAUCAAGCUAAGUCUUCUUGGGAUGCCGCCUGCUGCUUUGGCAUGUAUGGUUGGUGUCAAGCUAAGUCUUCUUGGGAUGCUGCCUGCUGCUUUGGCAUGUAUGAGUUGGGACAGAACCUGGACGGCAUCGUAUUCUCCAAGAUUGCUGCAGUUUCUCUUGAGUUCAACUGGCUGCUUAGAAUAUCUGAUUAAAAUGUUUGUGUGAUAUUAAAAUGUAUCCAGCUGACUGACCUAUUACAAGGUUUUACCUUCUGAGCUGUGGAAAUCUCAAAUAAACUUCUCAGUUCAA